UACGUAGGGGGCUAGCGUUAUCCGGAAUGAUUGGGCGUAAAGCGUCCGCAGGUGGCUAUGUAAGUCUGCUGUUAAAGAGCGAGGCUCAACCUCAUAAGAGCAGUGGAAACUACAUGGCUAGAGUGCGUUCGGGGCAGAGGGAAUUCCUGGUGUAGCGGUGAAAUGCGUAGAGAUCAGGAAGAACACCGGUGGCGAAGGCGCUCUGCUAGGCCGUAACUGACACUGAGGGACGAAAGCUAGGGGAGCGAAUGGG
rnacentral:rRNA from 1 species